rnacentral:lncRNA from 1 species
UUGUGAUGUGGUAUGAGGCUGCUACUGACCUUCUGCCAACAUGUCAGGAGGAGGAUCAUCUGCUUCUAGACCGGGGUCAACCACCGGUAACUGAAACCACAGAAAGUGAAGCCACAGGCCAGGGGGACUACAGUCCAACCAGAACACUAAGGGUGCAGAUUGCCUUGGCAGGUGGAUACAGAAACCUACAUGUCUUGCAGCCACCCAGGACACCCUUAGGCCAUGGGGAAUUGCUCCAAGGAGAUCUGUUCCUGGCGAGGAUUACAGAAUCCACUUUUAACAAGCACACCAGCACAUUCAUAAGCCAUCCUCUGCGACCCCCUGAAGCAGGCUCUGCGGCCUCUGCGGCCACCCCACGCUCACAAAGAAACCUCCUCUUCCUGCCUGAGCUUUGCUGUUGGUAGCACCUCCCUGAGGUCCUGUCUUCCAACAGUAAAGCAGGUUACAUAAUAAAGUUCAUACUCUUAGCAUGAAAAUCAAGGUUCUUCCUUAUCUGGCUUCAACCACCUGUCCUAUUGGAUUUUAACCUACAAAGACACAGUGCUGGGAAUGGUACAGCCUUCUUGCCAUCAUCAUAAUUGUGCUUGGAACUGCCUGAGAAGUGUCCAGCCUAUGUGCCUAUUAAAAAUAAACUUUCCUGAUCUCC